GUCCUUGCCGUAAACGAUGUGGAUUAGGUGUUGGGGGUGUUGAUCCCCCCGGUGCCGCAGUUAACGCAUUAAAUCCACCACCUGGGGAGUACGGCCGCAAGGCUGAAACUCAAAGAAAUUGACGGGUACCCGCACAAGCGGUGGAGCAUGUGGUUUAAUUCGAGGCUACGCGAAGAACCUUACCCAGGCUUGACAUGUAGUUGAAUGGCUGUGAAAGCAGUCAGGCCCGCAAGGGACAAUUACACAGGUGCUGCAUGGCUGUCGU
rnacentral:rRNA from 1 species